UCCAGUGUAGUGUAGUGGUUUGAGUGUUGGACUAUAACUCUGAAGACCAGGGUUUGAAUCCCUGCUUGGCCA